CCUGCCCAGUAGAAAGACCCACAGACAU
rnacentral:rRNA from 1 species